GGGCUCGUGGUCUAGUGGUUAUGACGCCGCCUUGACGUGGCGGAGGUCGCAGGUUCGACUCCUGCCGAGCCCA
rnacentral:tRNA from 1 species